UAGGGAAUCUUCGGCAAUGGACGAAAGUCUGACCGAGCAACGCCGCGUGAGUGAAGAAGGUUUUCGGAUCGUAAAACUCUGUUGUUAGAGAAGAACAAGGACGUUAGUAACUGAACGUCCCCUGACGGUAUCUAACCAGAAAGCCACGGCUACCUACGUGCCAGCAGCCGCAGUAAUACGUAGGUGGCAAGCGUUGUCCGGAUUUAUUGGGCGUAAAGCGAGCGCAGGCGGUUUCUUAAGUCUGAUGUGAAAGCCCCCGGCUCAACCGGGGAGGGUCAUUGGAAACUGGGAGACUUGAGUGCAGAAGAGGAGAGUGGAAUUCCAGGUGUAGCGGUGAAAUGCGUAGAUAUAUGGAGGAACACCAGUGGCGAAGGCGGCUCUCUGGUCUGUAACUGACGCUGAGGCUCGAAAGCGUGGGGAGCAAACAGG
rnacentral:rRNA from 1 species